rnacentral:rRNA from 1 species
GUGAACGCUGGCGGUAGGCCUAACACAUGCAAGUCGAACGGCAGCACAGUAAGAGCUUGCUCUUACGGGUGGCGAGUGGCGGACGGGUGAGGAAUACAUCGGAAUCUACUUUUUUGUGGGGGAUAACGUAGGGAAACUUACGCUAAUACCGCAUACGACCUACGGGUGAAAGCAGGGGAUCUUCGGACCUUGCGCGAUUGAAUGAGCCGAUGUCGGAUUAGCUAGUUGGCGGGGUAAAGGCCCACCAAGGCGACGAUCCGUAGCUGGUCUGAGAGGAUGAUCAGCCACACUGGAACUGAGACACGGUCCAGACUCCUACGGGAGGCAGCAGUGGGGAAUAUUGGACAAUGGGCGCAAGCCUGAUCCAGCCAUACCGCGUGGGUGAAGAAGGCCUUCGGGUUGUAAAGCCCUUUUGUUGGGAAAGAAAAGCAGCAGGUUAAUACCCCGCUGUUCUGACGGUACCCAAAGAAUAAGCACCGGCUAACUUCGUG